rnacentral:lncRNA from 1 species
CUUUACCUCUUCGACCUGCACUAAUGUCAUUCAAGAUUUCCCUAGCAUCCCGAACCUUAUCAGUAGCUGCUUUUUCAUUACAAACUUCUGUAAUCCAACGACACGAUUUUUUGUCAUGUCCUUGAUGAUAACAGUAUGUGCAAUAUUUUGGAAGAUUAUCAAAAACUAGUUGCUGGUCAUAUUCAGUCAAUUUUCCAGUUUUUGUAUCAACUACCUUUAUCUUGACUUUCUUUGGGUGUUUGUCUAGCAAAUUAAUCAAGACUUUAACACGUGCUGUACUAGGUCGCGUGCGUUCUUUAGUCGCUUUAUCUACUGCAAUAGGUUUCCCAACAACAGAUGCAAUAGACAUUAGUGAUU